rnacentral:rRNA from 1 species
AGCGAACGCUGGCGGCAGGCUUAACACAUGCAAGUCGAGCGGGCAGUAGACGAAUAUGUCAGCGGCAGACGGGUGAGUAACGCGUGGGAACGUACCUUUUGGUUCGGAACAACACAGGGAAACUUGUGCUAAUACCGGAUAAGCCCUUACGGGGAAAGAUUUAUCGCCGAAAGAUCGGCCCGCGUCUGAUUAGCUAGUUGGUGAGGUAAUGGCUCACCAAGGCGACGAUCAGUAGCCGACCUGAGAGGGUGAACGGCCACAUUGGGACUGAGACACGGCCCAA